AACGAACGCUGGCGGCGUGCCUAACACAUGCAAGUCGAACGCGAAAGGGGGCAACCCCCGGUAGCGUGGCAGACGGGUGAGUAACACGUGGGUAACUUGCCCCGAGGUGGGGAAUAACCUUCCGAAAGGAGGGCUAAUACCGCAUGACAUCCCGAGGGCUUCGGCUCUUGGGAUCAAAGCUGGCCUCUGUUUACAAGCUAGCGCCACGGGAGGGACCCGCGCCCCAUUAGCUAGUUGGUGAGGUAACGGCUCACCAAGGCGACGAUGGGUAGCCGGCCUGAGAGGGUGAUCGGCCACACUGGAACUGAGACACGGUCCAGACUCCUACGGGAGGCAGCAGUGAGGAAUAUUGCGCAAUGGGCGAAAGCCUGACGCAGCGACGCCGCGUGGAGGAUGAAGGUCUUCGGAUUGUAAACUCCUGUCGAGCGGGACGAAUGCGGUGAGCGUUAACAGCGCUCGCCGUUGACGGUCCGCUGGAGGAAGCCCCGGCUAACUCCGUGCCAGCCGCCGCGGUAACAC
rnacentral:rRNA from 1 species